GAUGAACGCUGGCGGCGUGCCUAAUACAUGCAAGUCGAGCGAACAGACGAGGAGCUUGCUCCUCUGACGUUAGCGGCGGACGGGUGAGUAACACGUGGAUAACCUACCUAUAAGACUGGGAUAACUUCGGGAAACCGGAGCUAAUACCGGAUAAUAUAUUGAACCGCAUGGUUCAAUAGUGAAAGACGGUUUUGCUGUCACUUAUAGAUGGAUCCGCGCCGCAUUAGCUAGUUGGUAAGGUAACGGCUUACCAAGGCAACGAUGCGUAGCCGACCUGAGAGGGUGAUCGGCCACACUAGAACUGAGACACGGUCCAGACUCCUACGGGAGGCAGCAGUAGGGAAUCUUCCGCAAUGGGCGAAAGCCUGACGGAGCAACGCCGCGUGAGUGAUGAAGGUCUUCGGAUCGUAAAACUCUGUUAUUAGGGAAGAACAAAUGUGUAAGUAACUAUGCACGUCUUGACGGUACCUUAUCAGAAAGCCACGGCUAACUACGUG
rnacentral:rRNA from 1 species